GCGUAAUGGAGGGAGGUAGAAGCACCAACCAAAAAGUGAAGAGUAUGCUCCUUCGACGUGAUGGAAGGAGACGGUAACCAACAGAGGAUCAAUAAAAUAGAGGGAGAUGGCCAUCGGUGGAGAGAUCAACAAUGUGAGGAGAUCUUGUUAAAUGGUAACGAGGAAAGAGAGCAAACCAACUAGAGGGGAUCAAUGAUUAGAGAUGAGCGGCAA
rnacentral:lncRNA from 1 species